rnacentral:rRNA from 1 species
GUCUACGGCCAUGCCACCCUGAACAAGCCCGAUGUCUGAUCUCGGAAGCUAAGCAGGGUUGAGGCUGGUUAGUGCUUGGAUGGGAGACCACCUAGGAAGACCAGGUGCUAUAGGCA